rnacentral:lncRNA from 1 species
UAGAAGUCUUCAAAUUANCUAUAACGUGUCCAACAAACUACGAAAUCAAAAAGCAUUUUCAAUCGGUUUAUACCAUUUCCAAGUUUAGGGAAGUCCAGGAUGAAUUCAAGGGUAAGGUAUACCGUGAUCUCAUAUCUGCUUCUGAGGGACCUCAUGGGACCACGUAUGCGGUGCGUGAGGAUGUCCUUUAUGGUGAGCAGAGGAAGAAGAAAAUGUUCUCUGUCUCAUUCCAGAGAGAGACAGCUGACUUCGUAUGCAGUUGUCACUUGUUCGAGUUUCGAGGUAUUGUUUGCAAACAUGCGAUCGCGAUAUUGAUUCGUAAUGACGUCACGCAGUUGCCCGAGCAUUAUACACUAUGGCGGUGGAGGAGGGACGCUAGCAGGAGUUACACAAGGGUUGCGGUGAAUUAUGAUGGUUAGGUCAGUUUUCCUAGACAGUUGAGGUACGAUAGUAUGUGCAAAGCUUUUGCAAAGGUAGCUGACCUUGCAGCAGAGGACGAGGGCCGGACACGUGCAAUAUUAGACUGGAUAAAAUUGCAAGCAAAGGAGCUUAUGACAAGAAAUUCCUGUGAUGCAAGUAAUAGCGUGAUGCAACAAACUAUACCGUUAUCCUCUCAGUGUAUGCCAUCCCAAACUACUACGAACGACGUCAUACUAGACCCAAACGUUGCAAAGAGGAAGGGGGCACCCCGAAGACUUUGAAAAAAAAGUCCAUUAGAGUUGAUGUCCAAGAAACCACGGGUUUGUUCAUCGUUUUCCAUCUCUAUUUGUCAAAAGUUGUGAAUUUGUAUUGCAAUUUAAUUAUCUUUUGCAUGUAGGCAUCUUCGACGUCAAGCAAAGGAAAGAGACCGAGACCGAGGUACGAUAAUGAAGAAGAGGUUGCAUCUGAAUUUGUAGCUUCGCAAGAACAAUAUUCGUCACAGACACUGUUCUCCUAUUCACAACUAUUGCUGGUAAGUAUCGUCAUAUAGUUCAACUAUUUGUUGUAGGUGUUACUUAAGGUCUUUUUUUUUUGUUUUACGUAGGGCGACUUUGAAAUGUAUGCAUGUACAUGACCAUUGACAACAUCGGAUGUUAUCCCACCAAGUGUCAUAUUCGGUCCACAAGGUAAGGCCAAGGAUAAUUCAUGACAUUUGUAUAGAAUUUCUUAUAAUAGGUGGAUAAUUUUUGUAUUGUUGAACAGGUCAUCCGUUUCCCUACUAUUACACACAUAUGCCGCCAUAAGGUGGUCCAACCAUAUGACUUUUAGAAAGGUUCAGUAGUUAUUUUGUGGUAGGAGGAGUAAUGUUAUUUAUGUGUAAGCCUUCCAUUUUGUCCCCACUUCAUUGUUUAAUAAUUUAGUGUAAUUGAAUGUGCAGCCGGUGAAAUGCCCCAUUACUGUCUGCGGUGGUGAUUUUGAAGGGAGGUUUUGGGAAGAUGUGAUUACUCAUAAUCUACUUCCUUUUUUGGAUUUUGGAUGUAAGGGAACCUAACUUAGCUAUUUAAAGCUGGGUGAACAGGUAUUAAAUGUAUGCUUAAAUUGGUUUUUUGAAAUCUGUUGCUUCAAUUUGGGCCAUAACAUGAAUGAAAUCUAAUUUGGUAGCUAUAUGUUUAAUUCUCCUUUGCUAGGAAAUUUGUUAUUCAGGUUCUAUGGCACUGCAUUUUUUAAGAGAAUUUGAGAAUUAUAAUGCAGUCAUUAUGGUCUAAUCUUUUAAGUUCUUACAGUAGCUAAGGAUAUCUUAAGCAGAAAUCUUCACACAAUAAGUUGGUUCGACUUUGAAACACUAAAGAAGGCAACCAACAAUUUUCACCAGGAUAAUCUACUUGGACGAGGAGGAUUUGGGCCAGUCUUCUUGGUAAUAAAAAUAUAAAUCUGUUUUGCAUCUUCAUUAUGUAAUCAUCAUUUCAAAAAUUUCUUAGAAUUGAGGGCAAGAUCUGUAUGGAGCCUUGGCCUUAUUGUGUAUGGUGUAAACAAACUGCGUUAAUAUUGCAUUGACUUUGUCUUCCUUCUUUUCAUAGGGAAAAUUAGAAGACGAGAGAUUGGUCGCUAUAAAGAAACUAUAUGUUGACAAAUCACAGCAAAUAGAAUCAGAAUUCCUAGCAGAGGUGAGGAUCAUCACCAGUAUACAACACAAGAACCUAGUCCACCUUCUAGGGUGUUGCUCCGAUGUAAUAAUUCUCAGUUUAAGAUGUGGUAAUUGAUUUCUUUACAUGGUUUCAUGGCUGGAUCAGUUGUGUAUUUAAAUUCUCUGAUGUGUAUUUAAAACUACAUCGUGAAUUGUUUAUUUUGGACAGAGAUCGAGACUAGUUGGGUUCGAUAUCUCUUCGAAUUAUCUAUCCAAGGGACUUGGUUUCACUUCAAUUCGAUAUGAGUUAUGUCUUA